UGCCAGCAGCCGCGGUAAUACAGAGGGUGCAAGCGUUGCUCGGAUUUACUGGGCGUAAAGCGUACGCAGACGGUUUGGUAGGUCGGGUGUGAAAGCCCAGGGCUCAACCCUGGAAAUGCACUCGAAACCACCUCACUUGAGUAUAGGAGAGGGAAGCGGAAUUCCUGGUGUAGAGGUGAAAUUCGUAGAUAUCAGGAGGAACACCGGUGGCGAAGGCGGCUUCCUGGCCUAUUACUGACGUUCAGGUACGAAAGCGUGGGUAGCAAACAGGAUUAGAUACCCUGGUAGUCCACGCCGUAAACGAUGAGUGCUGGAUGUCGGGGGUAUUCACCCCCUCGGUAUCGAAGCUAACGCGAUAAGCACUCCGCCUGGGGAGUACGGCCGCAAGGUUGAAACUCAAAUGAAUUGACGG
rnacentral:rRNA from 1 species